GAAACUCAAAGGAAUUGACGGGGACCCGCACAAGUAGCGGAGCAUGUGGUUUAAUUCGAAGCAACGCGAAGAACCUUACCUAAGCUGGACAUCCCAAUGACAUCUCCUUAAUCGGAGAGUUCCCUUCAGGGACAUUGGUGACAGGUGGUGCAUGGUUGUCGUCAGCGCGUGUCGUGAGAUGUUGGGUUAAGUCCCGCAACGAGCGCAACCCUUG
rnacentral:rRNA from 1 species